rnacentral:rRNA from 1 species
AGAGUUUGAUCCUGGCUCAGAUUGAACGCUGGCGGAAUGCUUUACACAUGCAAGUCGAACGGUAGAGGGGGCAACCCCUCGAGAGUGGCGAACGGGUGAGUAAUAUAUCGGAACGUGCCCAGUCGUGGGGGAUAACGUAGCGAAAGUUACGCUAAUACCGCAUACGAUCUACGGAUGAAAGCGGGGGACCGUAAGGCCUCGCGCGAUUGGAGCGGCCGAUAUCAGAUUAGGUAGUUGGUGGGGUAAAGGCUCACCAAGCCAACGAUCUGUAGCUGGUCUGAGAGGACGACCAGCCACACUGGAACUGAGACACGGUCCAGACUCCUACGGGAGGCAGCAGUGGGGAAUUUUGGACAAUGGACGCAAGUCUGAUCCAGCCAUUCCGCGUGCAGGAUGAAGGCCCUCGGGUUGUAAACUGCUUUUGUACGGAACGAAAAGGUCUCUAUUAAUACUAGGGGCUCAUGACGGUACCGUAAGAAUAAGCACCGGCUAACUACGUGCCAGCAGCCGCGGUAAUACGUAGGGUGCAAGCGUUAAUCGGAAUUACUGGGCGUAAAGCGUGCGCAGGCGGUUAUGUAAGACAGAGGUGAAAUCCCCGGGCUCAACCUGGGAACUGCCUUUGUGACUGCAUAGCUAGAGUACGGUAGAGGGGGAUGGAAUUCCGCGUGUAGCAGUGAAAUGCGUAGAUAUGCGGAGGAACACCGAUGGCGAAGGCAAUCCCCUGGACCUGUACUGACGCUCAUGCACGAAAGCGUGGGGAGCAAACAGGAUUAGAUACCCUGGUAGUCCACGCCCUAAAC